GAUGAACGCUGGCGGCGUGCCUAACACAUGCAAGUCGAGCGAAGCGCCUUACUUGAUUUCUUCGGGAUGAAAGUAUUGUGACUGAGCGGCGGACGGGUGAGUAACGCGUGGAUAACCUGCCUCAUACAGGGGGAUAACAGUUGGAAACGACUGCUAAUACCGCAUAAGCCCACGACCUGGCAUCGGGUUGAGGGAAAAGGAGCAAUCCGCUUUGAGAUGGCCUCGCGUCCGAUUAGAUAGUUGGUGAGGUAACGGCUCACCAAGUCGACGAUCAGUAGCCGGACUGAGAGGUUGAACGGCCACAUUGGGACUGAGACACGGCCCAG
rnacentral:rRNA from 1 species